rnacentral:rRNA from 1 species
UACGUAGGGGGCAAGCGUUGUCCGGAUUUAUUGGGCGUAAAGAGCGUGUAGGCGGCCAGGUAGGUCAGCUGUGAAAACUCGAGGCUCAACCUCGAGACGUCGGUUGAAACCACCUGGCUAGAGUCCGGAAGAGGAGAGUGGAAUUCCUGGUGUAGCGGUGAAAUGCGCAGAUAUCAGGAGGAACACCGGUGGCGAAGGCGGGUCUCUGGGCAGUAACUGACGCUGAGGAGCGAAAGCGUGGGGAGCGAACAGG